AGAGGCCGCUGCUAUCCGGCUGGGACUAAGCCAUGCGAGUCACGGGGUCUGCACCACUCUGCGGUGCAGGCACCGGCGGACGGCUCAGUAACACGUGGCCAACCUACCCUCGGGAGGGGGAUAACCCCGGGAAACUGGGGCUAAACCCCCAUAGGGGAUGGGUGGUGGAAUUCCCCCAUCCCCGAAAGUGUGCGGUUGCCGUAAGGCGCCGCACAGCCCGAGGAUGGGGCUGCGGCGGAUUAGGUAGUUGGCGGGGUAACGGCCCGCCAAGCCGAAGAUCCGUACGGGCCAUGAGAGUGGGGGCCCGGAGAUGGCCCCUGAGACAAGGGGCCAGGCCCUACGGGGCGCAGCAGGCGCGAAACCUCCGCAAUGCGGGAAACCGCGACGGGGUCAGCCGGAGUGCCCCUGCAUAGCAGGGGCUGUCGGGGAGCCUAAAAAGCUCCCCAUAGC
rnacentral:rRNA from 1 species